CCUAACCAGAGAGUGAGACGCCCUCAAGCUGGAGCUGCACAAGAACGGCAAAAGUAAUGAGGACCUGAGGCAGCAGAACUCCGAACUGGAAGAGAAACUUCGAGUCCUGGUGGCAGAGAAAGCAGCUUCACAGUUGGGGGCAGGGGAGCUGCAGAAGAAGUUAGAGAUGUCAGAGCUGCUGCUGCAACAGGUGAGAGGUGCAGCCCUCACCCCUAAGGCCCAGGCACAAAGUCCGUGGGUCCUUGGGGGUGACCUUCGGCCAAGUGUGGACAGUUUGGAACCUCCUCCUGUCCUGUGCUGAUGUUUACUAAUUGCUCAGUGGAGCCCUGGCCACACCUGUGAAUCAGUCUUCGUGAGGGCGAUGUGUCUGUUGCAUCCUUACUUUUAUUUAUUUAUUUAUGUUGUUGAGACAGAGUCUCAAGGGUAGCCCAGGGUGACCUGUAACUCCCCAGGUGAACGAACUCAUGGUAAUCCUCCUACCUAGAGGUUGUAGGCAUGAGCCACCAGGCCUGCUGAAAUGCCAGCAUUCUGUUUCAUUUAAAUGGCCCAACAGCCUGCUUUGCUCCUCCUGACACUUUCUCCUAUGGCAAUGACCCUGGGUUGUCAUCCUAGCUCACACUCUUGUGGGGAGCACUGCAGCAGAACAGCAUAGACUCCCAGACCCAGGCCUCUGGCGGUAAUGAGCAGUUGCAACAGGCCAUAGAGGAGCGGUCUCAGCUGGAGAGCCAUGUUGGCCAGCUGAUGGAGUCGAGAGAGACCAGUAUGCAGAGAACCUGAAAGGAGAGAGUGCCAUGUGGCAGCAGAGGGUACAGCAGAUGGCAGGGUGGCAUGCCUACUGGUAGCUCCUGCAGAUGACUGAGCAUCCCAGAAUUGUACUGGAGUGGUUUGAAAUGCUUACCGCUUAUCUGAGACCCUGACAGAAAAGAAGCCAAGGCUUGGGGCAGGAGCCUGACUCACAAUGGAGCCCAAGAAGCCUAAGGUGAAUUCCUUCAGUGGGCCAGCUUCCUUUCUCAGAGAAGCUGCAAUCUCCAGAGCCUCCCCCUGGGCCCUCCAAGGCAGAAGAGUGGCUGCAGGGAGAGGUUGAGCAGCUGCAGAAGGAACUGGAGGGUCUGACAGGUCAGCUGCGGGCCCAGGUGCAGGACAAUGAGAGCCUGAGCCACCUGAACCGGGAGCGGGAGGGGCGGCUGCUGGAGCUGGAGAGCGAGGCCCAGCAGUGGAGCGAGCAGAUCCUGGAGAGCAUGCAGAGUGACCGCACCACCAUCAGCAGAGCGCUGUCACAGAACCGCGAGCUCAAGGAGCAGCUGGCUGAGCUGCAGAACGGCUUCUUCAGGCUGGUGCGGAGCCUGCAGGCCCUCCUUGCUUACAGGGAACACACUCACCCCUUUUGGUCAGCACCGGCAGAGGAUGGGGUGCUGUCCGCCUCACGUUAGGUGGUAGUGGUGAAGGCACCCCACAAUCCCGAGCCCUAGGGUGUGUGGGAAUGUUCCAGCAGCCUUCCCUACUCUGAGAGUGAGUACACAUGCAAUUCUGAGGACUUCAGCCACAUUAGGUCCUACUGACUGUUGUUUUCUGUCCAGACCAAUGAAAACAUGGAAAUUACCAGUGUGUUACAAUCAGAGCAGCAUGUCAAGAAAGAACUGGCCAGGAAGCUGGGAGAGCUUUAGGAGAGGCUGGGAGAGCUGUAGGAGAGGGUAAACCCCUGGAGGUGGAGGCAAGAAGAACUAGAGUCCAACAUUAUUACCCUUAGCUAUAUAGUGGGCUCAGCAUGAACUCCAGGAAACCCUGCCUCAAAAAAAAAAAAAAAAAAAAAAAAAAAAUCACAUACGACAGGCUGGCCAGGUGACUCAGUGGAUGAAAGUGCUUGCUGCACAAACCUGGUGACACGAGUUCAAUCCCCGGAACCUAUGUAAGGUGAGAGAGAACCGAAGCCAUAAAGUGUCCUAUCUGGAAGACCGUUAGAGCAGUAAGUAAGUAGUGUGCAGGAAGGCACUCCUACUCUGCUCACCGAGACACUUCAGAGCUCUCAGGCCCUGCCUGGCCUGGCAUGUUGUCGUCCAGUUCUCUUCAGUGGGCAGUCUGCAGGGUUGAGAGUGUUCCCAGGGCACAGAGCACAAAGACUCCAUCUGGCCCCGGGCAGUGCCCAGACGCUGCCCGCCCCCUGUUUUGCACCAGCCUGAACUCUGCCUAUGUCUGCUGACCCCUGGCAUUCCUGCAGAGACCCCCACGAGGCAGAAACAGUCAGGGCUUUCAGAGUGUCUGCCCGCUGGAGGGAUGAAUAUCUCUGAGAUUAUCUGCCAUGAAUGCAGGGUGGCCCUUCACGUGACUAAGGUUGGCUGGCUCUGCCCUAGCCCUUGACGUUUGGCUCCAGAGCCCUCAUUCCAACGGGGGUUGGGGGGGUAGGACAGAAACCUUAUUCUCUUCUUGAAAGGGAGGCCCCCAUACCCCUAUCUGUACAGAACCCUACCCCCAGCCUCAAUCACCCCUCACCCCCACACAGGGCCUGGAGUUUCCCUGUUUAUGGCUUGGCACCGGAGCAGAUCCAAAGUCAAGCUCCCCGAGCUCUUUGAAGGCGGGCAUUUAUUGGUAGGGAAAGCCACUGUUCCCAGGAUGUCCACCCAGCCUGCUCUGGCUUUUCUGGAUAAAGUCCUGAUGGGUCCUAACAGCUGCCACCGCCUGGAUAAGCCCCUCGUGGGACAGCUGGGCUUUUGGAGACUCUGCCCUGCAGAACCCGGGCAUUUGGCCUGGUCUCUAAUAUCAUUUUCCCCAUCUGUAAAGUGGGGUGAUGAUGUUCCUGAUCUCCCAGGAAUAUUCUAAGAUUAAAAUGGGUUCUUGGAUGUGAAAAGGCUCUGUGUGGGGCCCAUGGAAGACACUUAGAAAUACAAGGCACAGAGAACCCUAACUAAUCUGAAAUGCUAAACCAGGCUGGUGCCCUCUACCUGCCCUCUUAGGACCUCAGAUUAGAGCAGGGCCACUGUGAACAGUGAACAAACAUGAGAUAAGUAGACCACCGUGGUAGCCUUGCUGUCUUAAUUAAAUUUCUACUGCUGUGACG
rnacentral:lncRNA from 1 species